rnacentral:rRNA from 1 species
AGUGAACGCUGGCGGUAGGCCUAACACAUGCAAGUCGAACGGCAGCACAGUAAGAGCUUGCUCUUACGGGUGGCGAGUGGCGGACGGGCGAGGAAUACAUCGGAAUCUACUUUUUCGUGGGGGAUAACGUAGGGAAACUUACGCUAAUACCGCAUACGACCUACGGGUGAAAGCAGGGGAUCUUCGGACCUUGCGCGAUUGAAUGAGCCGAUGUCGGAUUAGCUAGUUGGCGGGGUAAAGGCCCACCAAGGCGACGAUCCGUAGCUGGUCUGAGAGGCUGAUCAGCCACACUGGAACUGAGACACGGUCCAGACUCCUACGGGAGGCAGCAGUGGGGAAUAUUGGACAAUGGGCGCAAGCCUGAUCCAGCCAUACCGCGUGGGUGAAGAAGGCCUUCGGGUUGUAAAGCCCUUUUGUUGGGAAAGAAAAGCAGCAGGUUAAUACCCCGCUGUUCUGACGGUACCCAAAGAAUAAGCACCGGCUAACUUCGUG